rnacentral:rRNA from 1 species
UGGGGAAUAUUGGGCAAUGGAGGAAACUCUGACCCAGCGACGCCGCGUGAGGGAUGAAGGCCUUCGGGUUGUAAACCUCUUUCAGUAGGGAAGAAGCGAAAGUGACGGUACCUACAGAAGAAGCACCGGCUAACUAUGUGCCAGCAGCCGCGGUAAUACAUAGGGUGCAAGCGUUGUCCGGAAUUAUUGGGCGUAAAGAGCUCGUAGGUGGUUCGUCACGUCGGAUGUAAAAAUCUGGGGCUUAACCCCAGACCUGCAUUCGAUACGGGCGAGCUAGAGUGUGGUAGGGGAGACUGGAAUUCCUGGUGUAGCGGUGGAAUGCGCAGAUAUCAGGAGGAACACCAAUGGCGAAGGCAGGUCUCUGGGCCAUUACUGACACUGAGGAGCGAAAGCGUGGGGAGCGAACAGGAUUAGAUACCCUGGUAGUCCACGCCGUAAACGGUGGGCACUAGUUGUGGGAACCUUCCACGGUUUCUGCGACGCAGCUAACGCAUUAAGUGCCCCGCCUGGGGAGUACGAUCGCAAGAUUA